AAGACACUUCAUUCCCACUCAGCAAUGGUGUAAUUGGAUAUUGGUGGUGUGAUUAGCAGCAUUCCGUUUUGGGCCUUAGCCCCAAGCUUCAUAUGGCCAGCCAGGGUCCGAAUUUGCGUCCAUGAUUCACCUUCAGUACAUGAACCUUCACUUUGCCGCAACUCAAAUUAACUCCAACAACGUUCUCUCGUUCUUCACCCUCAUAUCCGAUGUUGAAGCGAAAACGCUAUCAAAACGGAAUCUGAAGACCGAAUCUUAAUCACUAUCAGAUCUAAUGGUCUCUCUAAACAUAGAAGAACUGAUAGAGUUAUUGAAGCCUCUAGAAGCCGAACCAUGGGAAUAGCUACUAUCGAAAUUACUAGAAUUUGUCUGCUUAAUUUUCUGUAGUGAAUCAACAGAGUUCUCACGUAUGAUCUUUGACGAAAAGUAAAGAUAAGAGACAUCAGGUUGGUGCACUCAUGUCCUUGGCUUGGCAUGGAGUGGAAUAACUUGCUCAUGAAGGUUUGAUCAAAGAAUUAAAUUUAUGAAACUUUUGGAGACUCACAAGAAUGAGGAUAAUGAAGUAAGUGUAGAAUUUAAGGUUCAGAUUUGUGAAUUGUUUGUGAAUGUAAAUGUAAACGGAAACUAAUGGUUUGAAAUACGGAUUGGAAAUUGAAUGGAAAUGUUGUAAUUUAAAAAUAUGAAUGGGACAUAUAUGUUGUAACUUGAAUUGAAAAUAUGAAAUUGAAUAAGUGAAUAAAAAAUGUGUGAAAGGUUGGUUUAUGAGAUA